rnacentral:rRNA from 1 species
CCUACGAGAGGCAGCAGUGAGGAAUAUUGGUCAAUGGCCGGAAGGCUGAACCAGCCAAGCCGCGUGAAGGACGAAUGUGCCAAGCAUUGUAAACUUCUUUUGUCAAGGGAUAAAGUCAGGCUCGAGAGCCUGACCGAGUGUACUUGAAGAAAAAGCAUCGGCUAACUACGUGCCAGCAGCCGCGGUAAGACGGAGGGUUCGAGCGUUAUCCGGAUUUACUGGGUUUAAAGGGAGCGUAGAUGGGGUGUUAAGCCAGGGGUGAAAGACAGGGGCCCAACCGCGGAACUGCAAUUGGAACUGGGUGGCUGGAGUGCAGGAGGGGCAGGCGGAAUUCCUGGUGUAGCGGUGAAAUGCGUAGAUAUCAGGAAGAACACCGGUGGCGAAGGCGGCCUGCUAGACUGCAACUGACGUUGAGGCCCGAAAGCGUGGGGAGCAAACAGGAUUAGAUACCCUUGUAGUC